rnacentral:sRNA from 13 species
AGUUCUGGAAGCUCUGGAAGCUUCUGGAAGCU